GACGAACGCUGGCGGCGUGCUUAACACAUGCAAGUCGAACGGAAAGGCCCUGCUUUUGUGGGGUGCUCGAGUGGCGAACGGGUGAGUAACACGUGAGUAACCUUCCCUUGACUUUGGGAUAACUUCAGGAAACUGGGGCUAAUACCGGCUAGGAGCUCCUGCUGCAUGGUGGGGGUUGGAAAGUUUCGGCGGUUGGGGAUGGACUCGCGGCUUAUCAGCUUGUUGGUGGGGUAGUGGCUUACCAAGGCUUUGACGGGUAGCCGGCCUGAGAGGGUGACCGGCCACAUGGGGACUGAGGUACGGCCCAGACGGCUACGGGAGGCAGCAGUGGGGAAUAUUGCACAAUGGGCGGAAGCCUGAUGCAGCAACGUCGCGUGCGGGAUGACGGCUUUCGGGUGGGAAACCGCUUUCGCCUGUGACGAAGCGGGAGUGACGGUAACGGGUAAAGAAGCACCGGCUAACUACGUG
rnacentral:rRNA from 1 species